UCCGGAGGGAGCUAUCGUUGUUCGGAAUUACUGGGCGUAAAGCGCACGUAGGCGGCCGUUCAAGUCAGAGGUGAAAGCCCGGGGCUCAACCCCGGAAUAGCCUUUGAAACUAGAUGGCUUGAAUCUUGGAGAGGUCAGUGGAAUUCCGAGUGUAGAGGUGAAAUUCGUAGAUAUUCGGAAGAACACCAGUGGCGAAAGCGCUCUGCUGGGCCUGCACUGACACUGAGGGACGAAAGCUAGGGGAGAGAAAGGG
rnacentral:rRNA from 1 species